rnacentral:rRNA from 1 species
GUGAGGGAAAGGUGAAAAGAACCCCGGGAGGGGAGUGAAAGAGAACCUGAAACCGUGUGCCUACAAGUAGUCAGAGCCCGUUAACGGGUAAUGGCGUGCCUUUUGUAGAAUGAACCGGCGAGUUGCGUUAGUCAGCAAGGUUAAGUCAGAAAAGACGGAGCCGUAGCGAAAGCGAGUCUGAAGAGGGCGAGCAGUUGGCUGACGCAGACCCGAAACCAAGUGACCUACCCAUGACCAGGUUGAAGGCGCGGUAAAACGCGCUGGAGGACCGAACCCACGUAAGUUGAAAAUUGCGGGGAUGAGUUGUGGGUAGCGGUGAAAUUCCAAACGAACUUGGAGAUAGCUGGUUCU